rnacentral:lncRNA from 1 species
CAUUUUUUAAAAUGCAUUCUGUUUGAAUUUUAAUGCAGAUUGUUUUUUGAAUCUGCCCCUGAUCAACCUUUGAGGUGUUCAGCCGAGAUUAGUAUUUGUUGUGACUUCCCUGAUGUCCUUAUUUGCUUGUGUUACUUUCACUGUGCUGCCAGCAAAGCGCCCAGUUUGCCCCUUCCUCUAUCGUUUUCGUUUAGAGUAGGAGCCUCACUGAAGAGGGUGCGAGCGAGAGGGGGGAAAAAAGAGGAAGGAAGUGGAGACACCGUGAGAAGAGCAAAGCCUAGAGCUGUAGCUACAGUAGCUAACAUGGCUUUUUGAUUCAUCAUUCUCCACCUGAGGACGCUGCUUGGAUUGUAUCCAUUCUGCUGCUUAUUUCCUUCAGCCUUUGAAUUACGGCUCCCUUAGCCUGCUGGUCUUGCUGGCAAUGACUCCUUGGCAUAAAACGGAUAAGAAGAUUGGAGUGGCAAUAUACAAUUUCAGAGCUGUAAGAGUGCCACAGUUAUCCCUGCAUAUUGGUGAUGUAGUCCACAUAUUGGAAGAUUGUGAAGAUUGGUACAAAGGAUAUCUUGUAAGACAUAAAGGAAUAGAGGUGAGUUCAUGUUUAUUGCCAUUAUCAUAUUUAUCUCUUCUGUAACUUGAUAUUUUAACAGCUGGUCAUUUCCUUUAAAAACUUAUGGCAGUUAAGCCUGAGAAGUUCAGCGACUUACAGCAGAAGCCUAUGUAUGCAUCUGAGACACAUAGGUUUGUGGGCCGACUCUGUCUGGGUGGGUAGUAUCUCAGCGGGGAAAUGAAUGGAUUUGGAUCUGCCCUAUGUUUUAUUAUGACAGAAAAAUAUGAAGCUGUUUCUGCAAAGCAGAUGUAACCAAAACCAAUUUCUGUGGCCACAUCCAGGUAGUUAUAUGAGCUCAAAUGUCAUAGACUUAUGUUUGUUUGUUUGUUUAUUUAUUUAUUUGAUUUGAUUCGAUUCGAUUUGUAUCCUGCCCAUCUGGUCUAUACGACCACUCUAGGUGGCUUCCAAGAUAACGUAGACAACUAAUAAAAUAACACAAAAAUAUUACA